rnacentral:lncRNA from 1 species
CAGAGACCCAGGUGGCGGCCGCCGGCGUAGCUGAAGGUGGGCAGGGGCUGAGAAAGUCGCGCCAGAGCCGGCCCGGCUGUUGCGGAGUGAUGCAGGGAGAGGGAGAAGCCCAGACUCUCAUUCAUUCGACACAUAUUUCUUGAGCACCUUCUGUGGGCCAGGAGCUGGGGAUACACCAGUGAACAAAACAAGGUCUCUGCCCUGGUGGAAAAGCCUGACUUCCAAAUCCAAGUUCACAGCCUACAGGCUAUGUGACAGUGGAUGAGUUGCUUAACGUCUCUGUUCCUCAGUUUCCUGUCCGCACAAUGAGACUAAUCAUCGUCCCCACCUAUUCGGAUUGUAAUUAACUGAGUUGAUUCGUGCAGGGUCCUGGCACACGGUAAGGGCUCAUUAACUAUCAGUGGCCCAGUCCGUAAGCAUGUGCAGUGUAAUUUUAGAUGACUGCUGUGAAGAAAAUCAGCGGAAAGUGUUGAGAGAGAGGGCGCUGGAUUAGAGGAAGUGAUCCGAAAAGGCCUCUGAACGGAGACCCGAAGGGAGGGAGCGAACCACGCAGAGAUCUGUGGGCGAGAGGUUUUGGGCAGGGGAACCGCGUGCAAAGGCCCUCGGUGGCCUGCAGGGCAGGGAAGCGCCCGUGCAGCUGGCGGCGGUGGGCAGCAGGAGGUGAGGAGAAGUAGGCGGGCCCGGGUUUAUCCUAAGUGUGAUGGGGCCACUGCAGGGUCCUGAGCUCGGGCGUGAUGCCAUCUGUCCAUUUUUUAAAUUAUGCGGGCUGCGCGUGAGACUGGAGUGUACGGGGCUAGGGUGGGAGUGGGGAGACCCGUGAGGGGGCUGUUGCAAUGAUCCAGGUGAGAGAUUGCAGAGGUGGUGAGUAGUGGUCUGAUUUGGGAUAUGUUUUGGAGGUUCGAUCCGUAGGAUUGCUGAAAGGUAUGAAGGUGGGGGAAAGAAGAGUCAAGGUGAUUUAAUGUUUGAGGUCCGCAUCACUGGGUAAAUGGAGCACCCUUUGUUGCCAUGGGGAAGGCUGCAAAAGGAACGGGAAUGGGGUCCCAGAUUCAGGGUGGGGCGAGCCCACAGGGAAGUGAGAGGGACCACAGAAGCGAUGGCUUCCACACGAGUUAAGGCAGCAGCGCUUCAAGCAGGAAGUGUGGCCUGAGAAAGGGGGUCAUUCUAGGGGGCGUGGCCAACGAGAAAGGGGCGUGGCCAAUGGCGAAAAAGGCAGGCUGAGUGACAGAUUACCCAAGGGCGAGAGCAGGGAGCGGAAAGAAGCCUUCCUGGUACCCCUGCCACCCUCAGCCCCCAGGCCUUUGACCACCUCUCUGCCACCUUUAGAGCUCUGGUGGACAUUCUGAGACAUCAGGCGGGGCCUGGGACCCGCCCGGACCGGGCCCGAAGCAGCUCCCUGACCCCGGGGAUCGGCGGUCCCGACAGCAUGCCCCCCAGGACGCCCAAGAACCUCUACAACACCGUGAAGACCCCCAACCUCGAUAAUCUGCACCACAGCUACCUGCACCUCAACGUCAACAGCCCCAAGCACCACGCCGCCACACUGGGUGCGGAAGAGGGCCCGGCUGCGGAAAAGAGCAGGCCUCCUUCCCUUCCCCCUUUGUGUUGGGCCAGCCAUGCCAGGUGCCCAGUAUAGAGCAGGAGUGAGACCCCUGUGAGCCCAGUCCUCAUGGCGCUCAUGGUCUGGCCAGGUCACCAAGUGAGCCUGUUUCCUCGUGUGGAUGCCAAAAGUGGUCAUCUCUCUCCCACAUUGUUGAUGGAGCCUGGGGCCAGGCACUCAGUGGGUGCUGACAAAUGCCCAGUACCCCCCUCUUGGGGCCCUCUUCCCCAGCAUCAAGCCCGUCUCCUGAGCAGAGGGGCUGGGGUGAGAAGAGGGAGCCUGAACUGCUGGAACUGAUGGGCUACAAUCUCAGAUUUCUAACUCCCCAAAGAACUGCUGGGUCUGAGGGAGGAGGGGCUGGGGGCCUGGACGCCUGGGUCUGAGGGAGGAGGGCUGAGCCUGGAUCCUGGGUCUGAGGGAGGAGGG